CCCAGAUCCUUUUCAAAAACCCUAGCCGCAGAAUUUGACUGGCAGAGGAUGUGUUUAUACUUAGUCUCACUAUCAAUUCUCCCUAAAAUGGAAAACCUGCAACAAAGGAUGCACUAAAAUGCUGCUCCCCAGGGCAGGCUUGUGUCAGCACAAGAGGCAGUUACAGGGAGAUCAUGUUAAGGGAUUUGCACUUAAUAACCUUGGCACCGGUCCAGCCAAGGCUGGGAAAAGUACUCCCAGUUCUCUACCCCAGCAGCAAAUGAUGUAAUUCACGCUACAAGGAGGCACGUCCGCUGACCUGGCUUGGCAGAGAGACAAAGAGACUUAGAUGAAUGUAGCCCCAGAUGCAGAGUUCAGAACUAUGAAGUAAGUGUGAAGUGCUCGAUGUGCUGAGAAAGAAAAAGGAAAGGUCUUCAGACUGAUGGAGUGUGACAGGAUCCAGAUGAGCCCUCUUCUUGAGUUGAAUUAUAGGGCUUCCAGGAGCACUCUUCUACCUGUCAUUUGGAGUACAUGUGCAACAAUUUCCCUUCUAUCUGUUUAGAGACGCAACAGAAUGGAGGCUGGAAGACAACUUGUUGUGGAGGGAAUUCAUGCACUGGGUAAAAAUUGAUAGGCUUCUGCCAAGGUCUGACAUCACCGAGUUUCUGUGAUUCUAGUAGAAGCCAGAAGUAUGUUCUCUGUAAUUAGAGGGAAUUAGACAAACUAUCAGGAAAUGCCAUACAGAGCCUUCAGAAGAAAAGAAAUACAAAGGAAAAUCAGACUGACGAUUAUGUUCUGUAAAGCUGCUUCUCACAAUUGUGGCAGCCACUACAUAUACACAGUCUCCCAACCCAGGAGCACUAUAUGCCCAUAGCCACAGAGGAGAGAUUAUGAAUGAGCCAGAGCAAAUUCUUCCUCCUAGAGGGAAAAACAGGAAGUGUAUCUCUUCCUGCUCAUAUUCUCAUUCUACAGUUCUACUCGCAUCUACAUGAUUAAGCAUAUUGUUUAUGAAGAAGCCAAUGAAAAGAACCUGAAAAAAGAUACAUGGUGAAUUAUAAAGUAUUAUUCCGAAGAAUAAUGGUUCUCUGUCUCUUUCCUGGUUUGCACUAAAACCUUACAUUCAGGAAGACAAGCACACUUAGAUAAGAUUAUCCAUCCUCUUCGUUGCCAGAGGUUAAAGUGCAAAUGUCCUCAUGAGAAGUUUAGUCCAAAGACACAUUUGAGGGGAUCCAUCAC
rnacentral:lncRNA from 10 species